AUACCGGCGGCUCGAGUGGUGGCCGCUUUUACUGGGCUUAAAGGGUCCGUAGCUUGAUUCAUGGGUCCCUUGAGAAAUCUAUCGGCUUAACUGAUAGGCGUUCAGGGGAAACUGUGAUUCUAGGGACCGGGAGAGGUGAGAGGUACUGCCGGGGUAGGAGUGAAAUCCUGUAAUCCCGGUGGGACGACCUAUGGCGAAGGCAUCUCACCAGAACGGCUCCGACAGUGAGGGACGAAAGCU
rnacentral:rRNA from 1 species